rnacentral:rRNA from 1 species
UACGUAGGGUGCAAGCGUUAAUCGGAAUUACUGGGCGUAAAGCGUGCGCAGGCGGUUGGGCAAGACAGAUGUGAAAUCCCCGGGCUUAACCUGGGAAUGGCAUUUGUGACUGCCCGGCUAGAGUGUGUCAGAGGGGGGUAGAAUUCCGACGUGUAGCAGUGAAAUGCGUAGAGAUGUGGAGGAAUACCGAUGGCGAAGGCAGCCCCCUGGGAUAACACUGACGCUCAUGCACGAAAGCGUGGGGAGCGAACGGG